AUGUAGUUGCUGCUGCUGCUGCUGCAGCAGCAGGUGUUGUUGUUGUUGCUGCUGCUGCUGCAGCAGCAGCAGGUGUUGUUGUUGCUGCAGCUGCAGCUGCAGCAGAUGUUGUUGUUGCUGCUGCAGCAGCAGCAGCAGCAGAUGUUGUUGCUGCUGCUGCUGCAGCAGCAGCAGAUGCUGUUGUUACUGCUGCUGCUGCUGCUGCAGCAGCAACAGAUGCUGUUGUUGUUGCUGCUGCAGCAGCAGCAGCAGCAACCCCACAUA
rnacentral:sRNA from 1 species